UACAGAGGUCUCGAGCGUUGUUCGGAUUCAUUGGGCGUAAAGGGUGCGUAGGUGGCGCCGUAAGUCAGGUGUGAAAUUUCGGAGCUUAACUCCGAAACUGCAUUUGAUACUGCGGUGCUUGAGGACUGGAGAGGAGACUGGAAUUCACGGUGUAGCAGUGAAAUGCGUAGAUAUCGUGAGGAAGACCAGUGGCGAAGGCGGGUCUCUGGACAGUUCCUGACACUGAGGCACGAAGGCUAGGGGAGCAAACGGG
rnacentral:rRNA from 1 species